AACUUGCGCUUCCCGGCGAUUUUCUGCGCAGAGAGAGACAAAGAAGGGGGGGAUACGAGAGACAAUUACGAAGAACAAAAAUUUUCCGAGAAAAUACCGACUGAUCAAAGUUUCUAAGAAAUCUUGGAAAGCAAACGAGGGUGAAGGAAAGAGAGAGAAAGAGAGAGAGAGAGAGCUCUGAUCCGAGUGCUCUCUGUUGGAGUCUAUUUGGUUUUUGGUUCCGAUAGAUGGUCUGUGCGGGUCUUCAAGGAGAGCGAGAGACAGUGCGACGACCCGAGAAGACGAUUAUGGCGAUGGAACCGGAGAGAUCAAAGGCUCUGCACAAUUUCACGCUGCCUUUGAAGUGGGGGAACCAGAGGUACCUGCGGUGCAUGAAAGUGAGUCCGGACGGUGUCGUCGGAGUUGAUCGGAGAUCUCUGGCUCCGAUACUUGAGAGCUCUCCGGUCACUCGUCGUCGGGAAUUGGAGAGGAAGAGGAAGAGGGAUUGGAAGUCAGGAAUCGAGAGCGGAGGAGGAGGAGGGGAGGGCGUAGAGGCGGUGAGGAAGGAGGUCUUGUUUGAUCUGAAAACGGCGGUUGAUAAGAUGAAAGUCGAGAUUUUUAGGAAGGAGGUGGAAGAAGAGGAAGAGGAAAUUGAAGAGGACGAGGAGAUAGAGGAGGCUAACCAAUCGCCUCCGGUGGACGAAUCGGCUCGGCCGUGGAAUCUGAGAACGAGGAGAGCCGCGUGUAAGGCUCCGAUUGGUGGAGGAAUGGGAUUGAGGAUUGAGGAUAAGAAAGUGAAUUCCUCGCCGUUGAGGAGCGAGAACAAUGGCGUGAGGUCGCCAAGGUUGAGAGGUGGAGGCGGAGGAGGAGCUUCGGAGAAGAAGGAGAAGAAGAGAACCAAGUUAACGGUGCCGCUGACGAGGAAGGAGAUCGAGGAGGAUUUCAUUGAGUUUCUGGGCCAUAGGCCGCCGAGGAGGCCCAAGAAACGGCUCAGGAACGUUCAGAAGCAAUUGGAUUCGCUCUUUCCGGGGUUGUGGCUGUUGGAUAUUACAGUUGAUUCCUACAAGGUUCCUGAAUCCGGUGAGAACGGCAAGAGGUAGUAAUGGGAGUGCGGCCUGGGUGAGAAGUUUCAACUUUCAAGGACUCUGUUUCCUGACUACUGACUAGUGGGCUGGGUUGAAGUGAAAUCACAUUUGCUUUGACAUCUGGGAAAUGAAGUGCGUUGUGGAAUUUGGAUGUCAUUGUCGAUAUCCUGCUAAAACAAAGCGUUAGAAAAUGGUAAUAAUCUCGUUUUGAGCUUCCAAACUUGGGACUUCAAAGCUGUGGGAGAAGGUCUCGAUGACCAACGUCCUGCUUGGUUACCGUAUGCGCGUAAUUUCAACCACGACCCCCAGGUGCUCCCUGGCUGCUAAUAAUUGUCUCAGCGAGUUGACUAGUAUAUUCUUUUGAGCCCCCCCAUGUUGACUAUGAAAUUCCCCCGUCCAUCUAUUGCAUGGAGUC